GAUUAACGCUGGCGGCGUGCCUAACACAUGCAAGUCGAACGAGGUAGCAAUACCUAGUGGCAGACGGGUGAGUAACGCGUGGUCAACCUACCGUUGAGUGGGGGAUAACUAGCCGAAAGGUUAGCUAAUACCGCAUACGUCUCCGAGUGGCAUCACUUGGCGAUAAAAGGAAGCAAUCCGCUCGAUGACGGGACCGCGUCCCAUUAGCUAGAUGGUGGGGUAACGGCCUACCAUGGCACCGAUGGGUAGCUGGUUUGAGAGAGCGACCAGCCACACUGGGGACUGAGAAACGGCCCAGACUCCUACGGGAGGCAGCAGUGAGGAAUUUUCCGCAAUGGGCGCAAGCCUGACGGAGCGACGCCGCGUGUGGGAAGAAGCCU
rnacentral:rRNA from 1 species